CGGUCAACUAGUAGUCAGACUAGUCUCAGCCCUGCAAUUAGAGAAUAGAGCUCUGUUUAGAUCUAAUUAGGGCAGAUUGUUGGGGGAAAGAUGGAAGAAGACCUGAUACACUUGCCUCUUCAUCACAGGGAAAACUGUGCUUGCAUGGCUCUGAAAUUAAAAUGUAAUUUGGGAAUGAAAAGGGAGGCUAGCAAAGCUUUCUCCUGUGUAUUUUAUUUUUUCUAACUUCGUUGUAUUACAGGAGGAGAAGGAGAGAGGAUUUUGUUCAAGGACACUAAGCUACUGGAUGCCCUAAGGAACAUAGGCUUACAAGUGUCAGUUCAAGAGUAGGCUGAACACUUCCUGUCAGAAAACCUACUGAUGGAAGAUGUUGUUGUUAAAAGCAUGUUUCCGUAAUUAUCGAUUUAUUGUCUGUAUCACUUUUUUGUUAUUUAUUGUAAUCAUUAAUACACAUAGACCCCUUGAAGCCUAAUAGCCAGGUCUAUAGUCUGGUCGGGCGCCUCCUCUCUCCUCCUCCUUGAGUCUUCACCUCACAGUAACAUGAAUUACCUCUGGUUUUCAUCUGCCAGUGGUGUAAUAGCUCCCGAAGUUAAUUUGCUUGUGCAAUAGAAAAACUGCCCCGUGGCUCAUGUUGUAGCUCUUUCCACUUCCCUCACUGGAAGUCCUCCCAUUUUAAUGGGCCAUUAAGAGGCAACCGGGAUGGUUAAGCUCUCAGCUGGGCCUGAUUGAUUCUGUUUGACCACAGAUGAGACCAAUGUGCACCUGAGAUUCCUCCGAAGCUCUCAGCUACACGUCUCUCCUCCACCCCCCACCCUUCUCCAGGCAGCAGCCUCUGUCAGGGAGCAGAGGUGGACAUGGCUUUAAGCUGGAGGUGCUGAAUGCACAGUGAGCAUACGUUUGUACCAUGUGGAUGGCUCGAUGUGUAUGAUCUGUUACUUUCCAUGUAGGUACGUUGUGUUGCAUGGCAGUGAGUUAUGCUCCAUCCCCCCCAUAGUGCAGCCAUCUUCACACAGGUGGAAGGACGCUGAAGAGGAAAGGUUUAGCAAAGGCGAGGAGCAUUUUGGGCUCCUUGUGAAAGUGGGCCACCGGUCCCUGUGGUGAAGGGUGCUUUUCUGGGACAGGCGCAGUGAUGAUGCUCACCCUGCCCAGAUUGGGAACAGCCGCCCUCGUCCAUCCGUUUCGGAGAGGGCUACGGAGCUGCGCAGCUUUGAUACACAUUGCAAAAGGGCCAAGCAGAGAGACCGCAGCUUUGACUUGGUUGUUACACCUUUCCAUCUACAAUAAAAUAUCAUAGUUGCGUGUCUGGAGCAGGCCUGUAAGUACACUUCAGCUCAGUCCACCUGUCUGAGGUAUUAAAUCAGUUGUUCUCUAAUUUUUGUAGUAAGAAAGUUACUUGUUACGCAGCCUGUUUCAGAUAGGUGUCUGAAGAGUGGAAUUGAUGCUUGUCCUCCACUGACUUGGCGGCUUUCUGAGCCCAAACCUCGAGCCCUGGAGUGAAAAGUGCGCUGCUAUUUAAAGAUGACAUAACCCAGCCAGCUGCUGCCAUUUCCGCUCUCAUUGUAAUCGAAUCAGCUCUAGUAGAGUGCGCCAGUGAGGGUGUGUGCGCUCCACGGAAGAUUAUACAGUCUGGACUUCUGGACGGCCUGCAACGGCUACUUUCACAUAGAGUACCUGGCUGGUGGCUCCUAUUUUUGGUGACGGACCCAGAGAAGAGGACGAAAUUCCAGCUGCUGUCAACCAUCCUAAAACCAUGCUUCAUGAGAAGGAUGUGGGUUUGUAAUUUGAGUUCUCAGACAAGAGAGGUUAAGAUGGGUGGAGCUACCAUCGUCAGCAUGCUGAAGACGAUACCGCUACACUGCUGCUGAGGAACUCUACCACCUCCACACCACCCAUGACUUUGAACAGUGAACCAUUGACUUGUGCGCCUCAAUCUCUGUAAUGGAAAAUCGUGAUGAUGAAGUUGAGCAGCACCACAGCACAAUGGUGGGAGAGGGGGGCAGCACAGGGGAUGGCACCCCUCCCCCAAAACGUAAGGGCAAGUUCUCUAACCUUGGCAAGAUCUUCAAACCGUGGAAGUGGCGGAAGAAGAAAAGCAGCGAGAAGUUUGAGGAAACUUCAAAAGAGCUGGAGAGAAAGAUGUCGACAAGGCGUACUCGGCAGGAGCUUAUAGAACAGGGGGUGCUGAAGGAGGUCCCGGACAACGAAGCAAAUGCAGAUACACAAAACGUGAAUCAGCCCUAUGUGAAGAAUGGUCACACUCUGCCUGUGAGCACUGGGGUCGGAGGAGGAGUCGGUAGCGGAGGUAAGAGUCCGUGCAAUCAAGCAAAGCUCCCCUCUGAGUCAGAAUUUAGGAUGAACCCAGCCUGGCUUGGCCAGCCAAAUGACCGCAAGGGCUGCUCUCACUUUGAUGGAGACCACCGGGGAACUCCAAGCUCCAGGGGCACAGGACUGCUUGACGACGGCUGGAGAGGGGGAGGAAUGGGGCCACGCACGCAAGGGGAGGGAGAAUGGAAUCCUAACAUGGUCUGGCAGGGCCAGAUUCAUGGACAGAUGGAGGAGGGCAGACGUGGGGGCCGACUUCACCCUGAGGAUGUGCUGAAGAGGCCCGGGCUGCAGAAGGCCCCAUCAGAGGAUGGCAGGAGUCGUCGGACUGCAGAAUCAGACUGGAAGCCCACACUGCCUCGUCAUGCAUCUGCUGAGGAGGGAAGGGCACGCAGAGAGUCAGACAGCCAUUUUGUCCCUGACCCAGAAGCCCUGCGUGAACCUCCGCCACCUAAACCGUCAGUCAUGCCUCCAAAAUGGUUGAUGAGCUCCACCCCUGAACCUGGCAGCGAGGGUCCGCCUCGGACCCCAUCCGGCCACCCCACUACCCAGUACUCAUCUCCCUCCACCCCCUCGACUGUGGUGUCCAAGCCUGUCCGGCCAGUCUCCUCUGCGGGUGUGUCUACUCAGCAGUCUUCAUCUGUAGCACCGACCUCCUCCUCUCAGGCUGUUAAGCAGCCCCCUUUGCCGCCACCCAAGCCAGUGAACAGGACCAACACUGCUAUGCUGGUCUCCGCCCUGCAGGGGGGAGAGAAUGCUCAGCUUCCACUCUACUGGUCCUGCUGGAAGCGAGAGUGCGACUAUGAUGUCUACCUGUCCCUGCCCGUCUACCUGUGCCGGCGGGCUGGAGGCCUGCGCUCAGGUGACUUCACCCAAGCCACUGGGGAUGCCAGGCUUGUGCCAGCUAAGCCAUCUCCACCGAUGCCCCCCAAGAGGACCACCCCGGUUACCAAACGCAACACAGAGGACUCUUCUGCAUCAAGCCAUCCCAUCAACCCCUCCUCGCUUCCUCUGGAGGACCACAGCAACCUCCCUGUGGGCUUCCAGCUGCCUUCCCCUCCCCUCCCAACACACGUUCCGCCAUCUCCACCCCACCAGCACAUACACACCCACCACCUCCACCAUCAGCACUCCUACCCUCACCCACUGCCCCAACCCAUACCCAUGCUGUUUGACCCGCCAAGCCCGACCAAUGAGUCUCCCCAACGCCCGGCUCCUGUCCCGCUGCAUAUCAUGAUCCAGCGAGCCUUGUCUAGCCCCGGCCCAGCUCAGCCACAUCCAGACGGGUCGCAGCGUGCACACGCUCUGCUUUUCGAAACCCCCCCAGAGUACCAGGGAGAUCGUAGUCGCCCCCUGCCUGUCAGCAUCCAACCACUAAAACUAUCUGAAGAUGACUACUCGGAGGAGGAGGAAGAUGACGAUGAGGAGGAGGAGGAGGAGUAUGAUGGUGAAAUUCCCCAGCCAGAGCUGGAGCCACGGAGUCGCCGGUGCUUGGUCGGAGAUGCAGGAGUUUGUGUCAUCCCUAGGGGAAAUAGCAGCGAGGAGGAGGAAGAGGAUGAAGAAGAGGAUGAGGAAGGGGAGCAUAACAUGUGUGGGGAGGACAGCGAUUCAGACGGUCCUGUACAUUGUAAAGAUGAAGACUCAGAUGAGGAUGAGGAGGAUGAGCCCCCACAGAGUGCCCUGGCCAGCAGGAUCACGAGGAAGGACACCCUGGCUCUGAAGCUGAGCAGCCGUCCCUCUGCUCCAAACAGGGACAGAUUUACCCAGGAGAGGGGCAGCAGAGACGAGCAACCUCCGGGACAGGCUGGCCUCACCUGGCAGAGCAGGGAGCAGUGGGAGGCCAUUCGCACACAGAUCGGCACUGCACUCACAAGGCGACUUAGCCAGAGACCUACUGCUGAGGAGCUUGAGCAAAGAAACAUCCUUCAGCCCAAAAAUCAGGCUGACAGACAAGCUGAGGUUAGAGAGAUCAAGCGACGGCUGACCAGAAUUGUGAGGCAACACAUCCUCUACAAACAUCCAAGUGUCAAAUCCCAUAUUUGCUGACCAUAACUUUCUGUUUAUUGUAGCUGAGUCAGAGACCCACAGUUGCAGAAUUACAGGCAAGAAAAAUCCUACGAUUCCACGAGUACGUGGAAGUCACAGAUGCCCAAGACUAUGAUCGGAGAGCAGACAAGCCAUGGACCAAGCUGACUCCUGCUGACAAGGCGGCUAUCCGGAAGGAGCUCAAUGAUUAUAAGAGCACUGAAAUGGAGGUUCAUGAAGAAAGCAGAAUUUACACAAGGUUUCAUCGGCCAUAGCGUCUCCCCUGUUUUGCGGAUGAUGAAGCAUUUAAAAUCUGUGGCAAGAAGGUGCUCCCAGUGCAGUCAAAUCGCCCUUUUGUGUUUCCCGAAUGUACACUACAGAUUUUCAGGAAAAGCCUGGAAGUGACUCAAAUCAAGAAUACUUCUUGCUUGCCCACCAUCGCCCUCUCACUACAUUGCUUUGACUGAACCGAGGUGGUGAUGAGUGAAGACCAGAUGCAGUAUUUCUCCUGGACAACAGGGGGAACCACAGGCCAAUGAAGUCGAGGGGUGGCAGAGGGCCCACAGUGCUCUCACACUGCUCUUAUGUGGUACCCCUCAGGGACUUGGAUCUAGUUAAAACCUUUAAUGUGGCCUCAUUCUGUUGCCUUUUUUUCUUCUUUACUGUAUAUGGAAAGGCUAAUUCAUCUCAUUAACAUAAUAACAUACAAUAUUAAUAGUAAUACUAAUGAUUAUGACUUGUAAUAUUCCACAAAGUAAUAAUAGAUACUAGAGACAAACGGCUACAGCGAGAGCAGGUGGGAGGAUGAAGACUGGGAUAUUCUGUUCUAGGACUGGACAUCUCUGGGAUAUUGGUUAAUUUAUAUUCAUUCUGUACAGAUUGCUAUUGUGAUACUUUAGAAUGAAACCUGGAGAGAUCUAAUUACAAAAUACUCUGCAAUGCACAAGAUGUUUUAUAUUGUCAUUUUGAUCACAUGAAUAGAAACAGCUUUUAUUUAAGCCCUCUUUUAUUUGGCUUGCCUGUGUUUGAUUGUGAGGUGGCCAUAUAAGCAUCAAUUUAGUUAUAGAAAAAGGUGUAGGUCAAGAGGCUGGUGAUUUUUCUGUGUGCCAUCAAAGCCUACAGGAAUGUAGGAUACAGAUUUUCAUAUCACUGAUUUCUGCAAUCCGCUGCAUGAGAAUCCAGUGCUAUUGGAUCUGGAUAAUCUCUCUUCAUUUGUACUUUUUUAUGGUUUUUGUACUUCCCUUUAAAGAUCAAACAUGCAAUGCAUUCUGUAGCCAUUUUGAAUAAGGUCAUCCUAGCACUCUCUAUACUAAGAAUUAAGUGUAAGUUGCUGUGAGUAUAGAUCAGGGACUUGUUAAAAAAAUCUGAAAGUGUAUAAACAGUCAACAGGGAGUCAUUUUGACUGGAACCUUUUGAAACUGCAGAAGUGUUUUAUCUUGUAUUGUCUGGCCAGUAGCUUACAGGGUCCUUUAUGCUGUGUACAGGUUGAUAUAGGUUUAACUGAUGCUUCUGUAUAUCUUGUCUUCCUUUCAUUUGAAAAGAAAUUUUAAAUUUAAAAAUGUUAUAGGUUGUUAUUUUUUUAAGCACAAAAUAUUAGUUUAUGAUUAAAUGCUACAUGAAUGGGGAAUAUGAAAGCGUAAACGUUUUCUGUAAAACGAAGGUGAUUUUUAAUUGAAUGUGGAACUGUAUGGACCGACAGUUUUCUUUUUAAGUGUAAAUAUUCACAUCUGGAUCUAAUUAAAAAUCU